GAUGAACGCUGGCGGCGUGCCUAAUACAUGCAAGUCGAGCGAACGGACGAGAAGCUUGCUUCUCUGGUGUUAGCGGCGGACGGGUGAGUAACACGUGGAUAACCUACCUAUAAGACUGGGAUAACUUCGGGAAACCGGAGCUAAUACCGGAUAAUCUUUUGAACCGCAUGGUUCAAAAGUGAAAGACGGUCUUGCUGUCACUUAUAGAUGGAUCCGCGCUGCAUUAGCUAGUUGGUAAGGUAACGGCUUACCAAGGCAACGAUGCAUAGCCGACCUGAGAGGGUGAUCGGCCACACUGGAACUGAGACACGGUCCAGACUACUACGGGAGGCAGCAGUAGGGAAUCUUCCGCAAUGGGCGAAAGCCUGACGGAGCAACGCCGCGUGAGUGAUGAAGGUCUUCGGAUCGUAAAACUCUGUUAUUAGGGAAGAACAUAUGUGUAAGUAACUGUGCACAUCUUGACGGUACCUAAUCAGAAGGCCACGGCUAACUACGUG
rnacentral:rRNA from 1 species